rnacentral:pre_miRNA from 1 species
AUAGUGGGCCUGAUCCAAAGCCCAGUGAAAUUGAUGGAAGUCUUUCCACUGAUUUCAAUGGGCUUGGGAUCAGGCCUUAUAU